GCAAUCUGAAACUCGCACGCCAGAACCGGACGGUCUUUCUGAGUCUGCUCGGGAUUUCCUGGUUGUGGUUCGUCGGCGCGACGUUUCUGUCGUCGUUCUUCCGCUUUGCGAAGGACGUGCUG
rfam:Burkholderia phymatum STM815 chromosome 1, complete sequence.